rnacentral:rRNA from 1 species
AUUGAACGCUGGCGGCAGGCCUAACACAUGCAAGUCGAGCGGGGUUUUCGGACCCAGCGGCGGACGGGUGAGUAAUGCGUAGGAAGCUACCCGAUAGAGGGGGAUACCAGUUGGAAACGACUGUUAAUACCGCAUAAUGUCUACGGACCAAAGUGUGGGACCUUCGGGCCACAUGCUAUCGGAUGCGCCUACGUGGGAUUAGCUAGUUGGUGAGGUAAUGGCUCACCAAGGCGACGAUCCCUAGCUGGUUUGAGAGGAUGAUCAGCCACACUGGAACUGAGACACGGUCCAGACUCCUACGGGAGGCAGCAGUGGGGAAUAUUGGACAAUGGGCGCAAGCCUGAUCCAGCCAUGCCGCGUGUGUGAAGAAGGCCUUCGGGUUGUAAAGCACUUUCAGUAGGGAGGAAGCAUUGUGUGUUAAUAGUACACAGCGUUGACGUUACCUACAGAAGAAGCACCGGCUAACUCUGUGCCAGCCGCCGCCGUAAAAC